GGUUGGUCCGAAGGUAGUGAGUUACCUCAAUCGAUUGCUCACAGUCAGUCACAGAUCGAAUUCCUGCUCUACACUUUCCCCCUCCUCAUCACUAUACUUGACUGCCUUUA
ensembl:misc_RNA Y_RNA Y RNA